rnacentral:rRNA from 1 species
CCCAGACUCCUACGGGAGGCAGCAGUGGGGAAUAUUGCACAAUGGGCGAAAGCCUGAUGCAGCGACGCCGCGUGAGUGAAGAAGUAUUUCGGUAUGUAAAGCUCUAUCAGCAGGGAAGAAAAUGACGGUACCUGACUAAGAAGCCCCGGCUAACUGCGUGCCAGCAGCUGCGGUAAUACGUAGGGGGCAAGCGUUAUCCGGAUUUACUGGGUGUAAAGGGAGCGUAGACGGCGAAGCAAGUCUGAAGUGAAAACCCCGGGCGCAACCCUGGGACUGCUUUGGAAACUGUUUUGCUAGAGUGUCGGAGAGGUAAGUGGAAUUCCUAGUGUAGCGGUGAAAUGCGUAGAUAUUAGGAGGAACACCAGUGGCGAAGGCGGCUUACUGGACGGUAACUGACGUUGAGGCUCGAAAGCGUGGGGAGCAAACAGGAUUAGAUACCCUUGUAUAU